rnacentral:rRNA from 1 species
AUUGAACGCUGGCGGCAGGCCUAACACAUGCAAGUCGAACGAGUGGCGGACGGGUGAGUAAUGUAUGGGAAACUGCCCGAUGGAGGGGGAUAACUACUGGAAACGGUAGCUAAUCCCGCAUACUAUCGGAUGUGCCCAUAUGGGAUUAGCUAGUUGGUGGGGUAAAGGCUCACCAAGGCGACGAUCCCUAGCUGGUCUGAGAGGAUGACCAGCCCCACUGGGACGGAGACACGGUCCAGAGUCCUACGGGAGGCAGCAGUGGGGAAUAUUGCACAAUGGGCGCAAGCCUGAUGCAGCCAUGCCGCGUGGAUGAAGAAGGCCUUCGGGUUGUAAAGUACUUUCAGCGGGGAGGCGUUACCCGCAGAAGAAGCACCGGCUAACUCCGUGCCAGCAGCCGCGGUAAUUC